UGACUGUUUAAUUUAAACAAAGCAUCUUGAAGGCCCACGGUGGGUGUUGAUGCAAUGUGAUUUCUGCCCAGUGCUCUGAAUGUUGAAGUGAAGAAAUUCAGUGAAGCAUGGGUAAACAGUGGGAGUAACUAUGACUCUCUUAAGGAGCCAAAUGCCUCAUCAUCUAAUUAGUGAUGCGCAGGAAUGGAUGAAUGAGAUUCCCACUGUCCCUACCUACUAUCUAGCGAAACCACAGCCAGGGGAAUGGGCUUGGCAGAAUCAGCGGGGAAAGAAGACCCUGUUGAGCUUGACUCUAGUCUGGCACUGUGAAGAGACAUGAGAGGUG